UGUUCCAUAGAAUUUCAUUUAUUUUGUCCGUUUUUUUCCCCUGAAGAAAAACCGUUGGUUCGAAAACGUUAGUGAAAGAAGUACUGUCGAGUUACGCACCGUUUUUUGUUUUGGGUUAGAAAAAAAAAAGACAAAAAAUUUAAAAUUUAUAUUACCAAAACAAGUGAAUUUACUGAAGAGGAGGACCAAAAAAAACAUUGAAAAAGCAAAAGAUACAGAUAAUUCUAUAUAAAAAGAAAAAUUUAUAUUUCAUUUUUGUACAGUAUACAUUCACUGAAGUAAACUUUUUAUUGUA